rnacentral:rRNA from 1 species
CUUGACGACCAUAGAUCAUUGGAACCACCUGAUCCCAUCCCGAACUCAGCAGUGAAACGAUGCAUCGCCGAUGGUAGUGUGGGGCUUCCCCAUGUGAGAGUAGGUCAUCGUCAAGA